ensembl:lncRNA
AACCUCUGGACGGGUGUGGGGGGACUCAGGAGGGAGGGGUCUGCUGCUAAUUGGGGCCAAACCAAACCCGGUGUGUCAGGGGAGACACCAGACAACGGUCCCCGUGACGACGGAGGACCCAGAAGAAGAAUACUCAGAUUCACGGUGGCUGCUGCAAAAUAAAAGGAGCGUAAUCCUCGAUGUGGAACCAGCGCAGACGACGACGCAGACAACGACAGACGACGACAGACGUGGCGAUGACUUGUUCAACCAAAACGAGAGACUGGG